rnacentral:lncRNA from 1 species
UUUCACUUUUGUUGCCCAGGUUGGAGUGCAGUGGCUCCAUCUUGGCUCACUGCGACCUCCACCUUCUGGUUUCAAGCAAUUCUUCAGCCUCAGCCUCCCAAGUAGCUGGGAUUACAGGUGCCCACCACCACACCCGGCUAAUUUUUAUAUUUUAUUAGAGAAGGAGUUUCAUCAUGUUGGCGAGGCUGGUCUUGAACUCCUGACCUCGUGAUCCGCCUGCCUCGGCCUCCUAAAUGCUGGGAUUACAGGUGUGAGCCAGGCGGGAAGUGCCCUUUCAGGGACUCUGGACUUGUGACAGUCCCUGUUUCCCCGUUUCCUUCCUUUUCACCCAAUAAAACCCUGCCUUACUCACCAUUCAAAUUAACUUCAAGCCUGAAUUUUUGUGGAUGUCUAUCUUUAGCUGAACUAAGGACAAAGGACCCCCAUCUUUAGCUGAACUAAGGAAAAGUCCUGCAACAUUUUUGGUGCUCAACAUAGGGCUCCAGAAGCGUUAUUCAAGUGGCAAUUCAAGUGGGCAAUUAAUGUAUUAUCUUACGGAAUUAGACAUAGUCUGCACAUAAUCAAGACACUCGAAUACUAGAGUUUUCUGUGUUGGGAGAAGAUUUUUUUAAAUUGUAUUUCCCCAACAAUUCUGGUGAAAAGGGUGAGAUGACUGACAGUUACUGAAUUGAGCAGAUGAGUUGAAGGUCUGUGGCCAUGCAACAGUCAGAAUAUACAGACAUACACCGGAGCAUGUUAUCAGUCUAAACCUCAUGAACAGAGACAUGCACUAGCUACUGUGUGGAAUUAUGCAAAAAGCAGACUUUACUUCUUUUAAGUUUCAAAUGCAUCAGCGUCCAGAAGAUACCACAUCAAAGGGUAUUGUGGCCAAGGGAAGCCAACUACCUUCCAUACUCCACAAUGGAACCCAUCUAAAAGGGUUGCUUGAUGGCAAUACUUAAAUCCUUUCUUCUAAAGCUCAGCUGGGAGAAGUUACACUGAUGUACCCACAAGAACCGUGAGACUUAAAGUGGCAAGGACAUGGAAGAAUCUGCUGGAAGAAGUCAGCCACCUACGUUAACCAGGAGAUUUUAUUUACAUAAAAGUCUCCCCCAGUAAAGAUAAUUGCAUUGGAACAGACUUUUUGAAAUGUUGAUGAUCACCCACAGGACUAUCUAUGUGAAAAUAAUAAUGACCUUAAACCAACAACAACUUGAAAACUUGAUUUGUGUUUCUUAUAAGAAGCCAACUCCUUAGAGUGACUGGACUGAGGAUUCCACAAGGAAUUUGGACUUGAAAUUUUCAGAAGUUAUUGAUAUUGGUACUGAACUCAACUGAAGAGGUAUUCUUGCAAACAUAUUACUAGUUUCAUAGACUGCCUUGCUGUCUCAUUCAUAGCACGGUGGUUUCAGUUACUUUAAGGAUCACGUUUUUCUAGAAAACAAAUUUAUUUUUUACAUUACUUUUUCUUUCUGUACUCCCAGUAAUGGUUCCCACAAUCUCAUUUCCGAUCAGCUCCAAAUUGUACUCCAUAUAAAUAGGUUUUGAUUUACAAAUUGAAAAAUCUGAUUAUUUAUAAAGUAAAAAUGAAAAAAUCUUCAUUAGUCAUUUUUGAUAAUAACAUUUUAGCUAUUUUAGGUAAAAGUAGCUAAAAUGCAUGCAAGUACUUGGGCCCUAAAUUUGAUACAAAAAUGUUUUCACUGAUUUGAUUGGAGCAUGAGGUAGAAAAAAAUUAAUAGUAGACAAACAGAAAUCUAGCAUUUACACAUAGAGGUUGAAAAGACAGGUCUAAUGUCAUUCAAUUAACUUAGAGAUCCAAGUUGUGUCCAAUCUCAAAAUACUUAAAUAAACAAAGGUGAAUAUCUGUCAUUAAUGUAGAUUUAGUCAACUGCUACAAAAGUAUGACUAUUGAUUAAGGCCCAAUGCAAGAAAAAAAAGGCCCAUAAGACAGGUUUGUCCUCAACACUUAAUGAGAACCUUACACAUGAAGCACUGGAACUUUACUCUGUCCCAUUCAACAGCUACCUCAUAAUGAGGCUUUGAUAGUAGUUGAAGACUAUUCAUAUCUUUACGUCACACAUCAGAGAACUAUUAUUUGGGAAGACAGAACAAUUACUAAAAGACCUACAUUUUCAUAAAAAUGUAAUGGAACUUAUGUGAUUGACUGAAACUCAAAAUUUUUUGGGGGGUGGCCUUGCAAGGAAAACUUUUAGAUCAUCAGGUUUCACUGUAAAGCUACUUUCUAGUUUUAGAUUGGAUAAUGCUUUACAAGGAACUGCCAAAUAAUACCUAGAUAUUACCCAUUUGAAAAUACAAGCAAUAAGGUCAUCACAGCAAUUUUAAAAAUAAUUGUGUAACUAAGGAAAGUUUUCUGCAUUGCUAAUUAUAUUAUUCAGGCUUCUACAGAGAGACAGAGCUUAUAGUAUAUGGAUAUGGAUAUAUGUAUGUAUAUGAGAAGAUUUAUGUAUGUAUGUAUAUGAGAAGGUAUAAUUCAGUCUGAGUGUGAAGGCCUGAGAACCUGGAGUGCCAAUGUCCAAGGACAGGAAAAGAUUCAUGCCCCAGUUCAAACAGAAGCAAAUUUGUCCUUCCUCUAUCUUUUUUUUUUUUUUUUUGAAACAGAGUCUCACUCUGUCCCCCAGGGCUGGAAUGAAAUGGUGCAGUCUUGGCUUUCUUCCCUCAUUCAAGUGAUUCUUGUGCCUCAGCCUCCCGAAUAGCUGGGACUACAGGCGCACACCACCACGCUUGGCUAGUUUUUGUAUUUUUAGUAGAGAUGGGGUUUCACUAUGUUGGCCAGGCUGUUCUCAAACUCCUGACCUCGUGAUCUGCCCACUUCGGCCUCCCAAAGUGCUGGGAUUACAGGUGUGAGCCACUGCACCUAGCCUUCCUCUGCCUUUUUAUUGCACCAACCUAACAUUCAGACCCUCAAGGGAUUGGAUGAUGCCCCCUUGCAUUGUGGUGGGAGGAUCUGCUUUACUUAGUCCAACAUAAACCCAUCUCUUCCAGAAACAGCCUUACAAACAUGCUCAGAAAUAAUGUUUAAGCAGCUGUUUCGGCAUAUCCUGGACCACUGAAGUAGAUACAUAAAGUUAACCAUCACACUAGUUAAGAAUCUGAUGUAACCAUUAUCUAUUUAUAUGAUAAAUUCAAAGCUUAUUCCUACAACCAAUAGUGUAGAGACUUUUAAAAAUGUACUUGUUUUGUUGUUUUAUCAGAUUUCUGGCAAUUGCAUUGUGUUGUAUGUUACUGUCGACUUUCGGGUUAUUUAGAGGGCUGCAACUUGUCCAGAGAAAGAUGAAAAUAGCAAUGAAGUCAGAAAUUUGUAGUGUCACUAUUUUAUACUAACAAGGAGUGUAUUGUCUGGGUAAAUACAAAUUGGAAAAGAAACAAUUCUCUUUGUUGAAAAUACGGGAAGAGACAUCCAUCCCCUCCCUUUCUUAGGGCAUUUACUUUAGAAAACUUGCAGAUGGAAAUUUUUGUUUGUGUCUUUAAAAAUGUGUGUAAAUCUUUUUAAAUGUCAAAUAAGCCUCUUGCCUGGUGAAAGGCUCGGGAAUGUCUUACUCUAUGACCUGGGGACCAUCUCAUUGAAAUGUCUUCAUCAUCAAAGAACAUAGUGCCCAUCUCCCAAUUUCUGUGGGUGGGUGGAAACCUAGCUUCAGAAGGUAUUUAGCUUAAAAUUGCAAAACUAUCUUAUGUUAUAAAGAUAUGAUAAUUUAUUUUUCCUUUGGAUAAUACACAGAACAUCAUUCCAAGUAUCCAGUGAAUUUAGGAUGAACUAUGUGUAACAAAUAGUGCUGUCAAGUCCUAUCUAGCACUUGAAGACUAGUUAUUAUUUAUCUUGAGAACAUGUACAUAAUGGAUUGUAUCUGCUUGGCUAUAUAAAAUAAUGAGAUUUAUUUCUGUUUUGCGAUAUCUUAGCACACCUACAAUCUGGUUUAAUGCUUAUUCAAUAAUACAACUGUGUUCUUUCUUUUAUGUUGU